UAAGACUCUGUCUCUGGUGUGCUUCUGAAA
rnacentral:piRNA from 1 species